UUGCUUCAGCAGCAAAUAUACUAAAAUUGGAAUGAUACAGAGAACAUUAUUCAUGGCCCCUGUAUGAGGAUGACACCCAAAAUGUAAGCAUUCCAUAUUUUA
ensembl:snRNA U6 U6 spliceosomal RNA